rnacentral:rRNA from 1 species
UCCGUAGGUGGAUAAUUAAGUCAGAGGUGAAAUCCUGCAGCUCAACUGUAGAAUUGCCUUUGAUACUGGUUAUCUUGAGUUAUUAUGAAGUAGUUAGAAUAUGUAGUGUAGCGGUGAAAUGCAUAGAUAUUACAUAGAAUACCAAUUGCGAAGGCAGAUUACUAAUAAUAUACUGACACUGAUGGACGAAAGCGUGGGCAGCGAACAGGAUUAGAUACCCUGGUAGUCC